CCCUUAGACGUUCUGGGCCGCACGCGCGCUACACUGACGAAGGCAACGAGCUUUCCUUUACCGAAAGGUACGGGUAAUCUUUUGAAACUUCGUCGUGCUGGGGAUAGAUCCUUGCAAUUUUUGAUCUUAAACGAGGAAUGCCUAGUAAGCGCAAGUCAUCAACUUGCGUUGAUUACGUCCCUGCCCUUUGUACACACCGCCCGUCGCUCCUACCGAUUGAGUGGUCCGGUGAGGCUUUGGGAUCUGAGCGGAAAGAGCGUUUCGCUGUUUCUGCUCGGAAAACUCAGUCGAACCUUAUCAUUUAGAGGAAGGAGAAGUCGUAACA
rnacentral:rRNA from 1 species